CUUGACAUCCAGCGAACUUGGCAGAGAUGCCUUGGUGCCUUCGGGAACGCUGAGACAGGUGCUGCAUGGCUGUCGUCAGCUCGUGUUGUGAAAUGUUGGGUUAAGUCCGCAACGAGCGCAACCCUUAUCCUUUGUUGCCAGCGAUUCGGUCGGGAACUCAAAGGAGACCGCCGGUGAUAAACCGGAGGAAGGUGGGGAUGACGUCAAGUCAUCAUGGCCCUUACGAGUAGGGCUACACACGUGCUACAAUGGCGCAUACAAAGAGAAGCGACCUCGCGAGAGCAAGCGGACCUCAUAAAGUGCGUCGUAGUCCGGAUCGGAGUCUGCAACUCGACUCCGUGAAGUCGGAAUCGCUAGUAAUCGUGGAUCAGAAUGCCACGGUGAAUACGUUCCCGGGCCUUGUACACACCGCCCGUCACACCAUGGGAGUGGGUUGCAAAAGAAGUAGGUAGCUUAACCUUCGGGAGGGCGCUUACCACUUUGUGAUUCAUGACUGGGGUGAAGUCGUAACAAGGUAAGCGUAGCGAG
rnacentral:rRNA from 1 species